rnacentral:rRNA from 1 species
UACGUAGGGGGCUAGCGUUAUCCGGAAUUACUGGGCGUAAAGGGUGCGUAGGUGGUUUCUUAAGUCAGAGGUGAAAGGCUACGGCUCAACCGUAGUAAGCCUUUGAAACUGGGAAACUUGAGUGCAGGAGAGGAGAGUGGAAUUCCUAGUGUAGCGGUGAAAUGCGUAGAUAUUAGGAGGAACACCAGUUGCGAAGGCGGCUCUCUGGACUGUAACUGACACUGAGGCACGAAAGCGUGGGGAGCAAACAGGAUUAGAUACCUCGGUAGUCCCUGAGCGGG